rnacentral:rRNA from 1 species
UACGUAGGGGGCAAGCGUUAUCCGGAUUUACUGGGUGUAAAGGGAGCGUAGACGGCCAGACAAGUCUGAAGUGAAAAUCCAGCGCUUAACGCUGGAAGUGCUUUGGAAACUGCCGGGCUGGAGUGCAGGAGGGGCAGGCGGAAUUCCUAGUGUAGCGGUGAAAUGCGUAGAUAUUAGGAGGAACACCGGUGGCGAAGGCGGCCUGCUGGACUGCAACUGACGUUGAGGCCCGAAAGCGUGGGGAGCAAACAGG